AAAAUGUAUGCAAAGUUGAAUCACAGACUUUCUAAACCCAGAGACGCAACAUCACGAGACUUCCGGAAACGCUAACGAAACAGAACAGGCGACCAAGAUCUUUGUGAAGGAGUGUGAGCUGGAGGAGCAACUGUCACCUGCAUGGGUGAAAAAGAAGUGGAGGAACCUCAGGCUUAAACAAAAAUAAACUGCAUCUUUGUGCUCCUCUCCCUCCCAGAAGGGUCCAGAUGUGGAGGCUGGAGAAGGAGGUGACUGCCAUGUUCUACUAUUUUUGGUGAAGUCCUCUUUUUUCCAAACCCAAAUUUAGAUUUCUGUUUUCUCAUUGAAAAGGGUUUCUUGUAAUAAACAUUUUGAUUUGAUAUUGGCA